rnacentral:rRNA from 1 species
GACGAACGCUGGCGGCGUGCCUAAUACAUGCAAGUAGAACGCUGAAGGAGGAGCUUGCUCUUCUGGAUGAGUUGCGAACGGGUGAGUAACGCGUAGGUAACCUGCCUGGUAGCGGGGGAUAACUAUUGGAAACGAUAGCUAAUACCGCAUAAGAGUAGAUGUUGCAUGACAUUUACUUAAAAGGUGCAAUUGCAUCACUACCAGAUGGACCUGCGUUGUAUUAGCUAGUUGGUGGGGUAACGGCUUACCAAGGCGACGAUACAUAGCCGACCUGAGAGGGUGAUCGGCCACACUGGGACUGAGACACGGCCCAGACUCCUACGGGAGGCAGCAGUAGGGAAUCUUCGGCAGUGGACGGAAGUCUGACCGAGCAACGCCGCGUGAGUGAAGAAGGUUUUCGGAUCGUAAAGCUCUGUUGUAAGAGAAGAACGAGUGUGAGAGUGGAAAGUUCACACUGUGACGGUAGCUUACCAGAAAGGGACGGCUAACUACGUG